UUGUGCACACUGGUGACCCAGGCCCGGCUAGUCACUGUGUCCUAUCCUGCUCCUCCUCUCCGCCACAGUGACUGGGUCAAGCGGCACGUGACCCAACCUGGCUGAACAAGGGCUAACCCCAGGCAUUUUUCUGGAACUACUUGACAAAAAGCAGAUCUUCAUAUUACGUGGCCCUGAGCAGUAAAACAACUAACCUAUCUGGAGUUCCAAGGAAGGACCAGCCAUUUGGCUCCAAGCAGGGACGAAAACUGAGCUUUAGAGUGCUUAAAUAACUUUAACAAG